UAGGGAAUCUUCCACAAUGGACGCAAGUCUGAUGGAGCAACGCCGCGUGAGUGAAGAAGGUUUUCGGAUCGUAAAGCUCUGUUGUUGGUGAAGAAGGAUAGAGGUAGUAACUGGCCUUUAUUUGACGGUAAUCAACCAGAAAGUCACGGCUAACUACGUGCCAGCAGCCGCGGUAAUACGUAGGUGGCAAGCGUUGUCCGGAUUUAUUGGGCGUAAAGCGAGCGCAGGCGGAAGAAUAAGUCUGAUGUGAAAGCCCUCGGCUUAACCGCGGAACUGCAUCGGAAACUGUUUUUCUUGAGUGCAGAAGAGGAGAGUGGAAUUCCAUGUGUAGCGGUGGAAUGCGUAGAUAUAUGGAAGAACACCAGUGGCGAAGGCGACUCUCUGGUCUGCAACUGACGCUGAGGCUCGAUAGCAUGGGUAGCGAACAGG
rnacentral:rRNA from 1 species